rnacentral:tRNA from 1 species
GGGCCCGUAGCUCAGUAAGGUUAGAGCGGCGGACCAAACCGCUGCACGGGGUGGGUUGAGGCUCUUAACCCGUAGGUCCCGGGUUCAAUUCCCGGCGGGCCCG